GCACUGCAAGCUAGUGAACAUCUGUGAGCCAUUACACAGCUGAAAUGACAUCACCAUGCAGCAGUUUAUACAAUUCAGAGCCUCAAGAUUGGAGCACAAAUAUUGGAAUGUUCUGAGAAGAGCUCGGGGAAACAUGGAGUCUACAAGAAGGACAGGUUGGUCAGCACUGUCCAUAGAUGAGUCAUCUGGAUUCGAUGUAAACAUGGGCACUGUGGGCACUGGAGGAAAACAGUCUUGUCAGGUCCAAUGUGCAAGAUAGACCUACUGAGUGAGUCAUAGAUCUUAUGUUCUGAAAGUUGGUGUCUGAUCGAAACCCCAGCUGAGUAAAAACUGAGUGGAAAAAUCAAUUAAUAAAGCAGCAGAAGGGCUUAUGAUUGGUGAAAUCAGUGACUGGGAUAUUUAGUGAGAAACUUAGACUGCUGCAAUAUUACUUAAAUUUCAAACAAUGUAAAAGAUACUGUAAUCUGUAACUACAGAAAGAUGGGACAGAUUAUAGUAGAUGCUAGAACUGAUACAAUUAAGGGAUGUAGAAAUAUUUUCUGUACUGUUCAUGAGCAUCAUGGGAAAACACCUAGCAGGUCUUUGAAAUCCAAAUGUAUAGAUUCUAAGAAUUCAUAAUGUUAUAGUUUUGGAACAGUUGAAGCACUUUAGUGGGUCUAUGUGGUGUUACUAUUAAAUAACAAUGAUUGUGCUAUAGAAAUUCAAUGCGUUUAUAAACUGGUGCUGAGUGUAAAAGACAAAACUAUUGUAAUUCUUGGGUUUACCAAUAAUAUUAAGGACUAUGCUUCCUGGACCCUUAAUUAUUUAAGUCAAGAGUAUGAUACCCUAAUUGAUAUUACAAGAUCAAACUGCAGAAAAUAAGAAGGAUCAAUUUUUUAAUGUAAGUGUGAAGUAAGAUUUAAAGGCCCAGCAGUUAACCUGACCUGACCUGAUCCUCAGCUUCUGUCUGAACUGCGUUUUCAGUAGUUCAACCCUUCAAGUUAACAGAAUAAAAUUUGCUUGCCAUUUCUUCACAAUUAGUUUUACUGAAAUCAAUAAGAUAAGUCUCUGAAUAUGACCUAGUGAAUUAAAUUCAGGUUGGUGGAAUCUGGCUAUUAACAAUGGAGACACUAUCACAAUCAGAUACAUACAACAGCUACUUGUAGAAUUGAUAUAGUGAGUGUUAGUAAUUACCAAAGAAGAAUUAUCAUGGGGCAGGAAGCAGCCUGCAUGCAUUAGUGUUUCCAAUCUGCAUAUCUGCAUAUCACAGCUUAGCUGGAUUGCAGUAAAGUACACUUUAAGAAUUAGAUCUUUUAAGCAAAAUUUUAUGCUUAUAAGUCCAUAAGUAUCAGAUCUUGGAUAAUAUUUUGCAUGGACACACCUGAUUGUUUGAAGUUUUUCAGUGUCUUAACAUGCACAAACACAUGCCAUUUCAGUUAUUAAGCUCUUUUUGAAAGCAAAAGAAAAAUGAAGUUUGCAUUUCAGCUGGGCUUUUCCAGGUGACUCAUUUCCUUUUGCAACUAUGCAAUAGGCAGUCUACAGUACGUCAGUAAGUGUCUGCUCACAUACACAAAGAAGAAGCCAUGAUAUGGUAACAAUAGCAUGCCUUUGACAAAAGGUAUAAAACCACCUUAGAAUGGACUAGACACACUUUUAAAAAAAAUCUGCCCUAAAUGGAAGCAUUUAUAUAUUUUUUAAUCUUAUUUUCCUUUGUCAUAAGAUAAUGAUUUGUUGAUAACAAAUAGAAAUGCCACUCUUCAUUUUAGACUCAAUCCCUUGCUUUUCUGGAUUAAAAUCUGACUGAGUUUACUGUAGUUCACACUUCAGAAAUAUCAAUAUUAGAAGACUCCCAGUGCAAUGCUGUUCAUUUUGGUAAAGGGAUUUUCCUUGACUAGAUUUUUUUUUUCAAACAAAUGUAUGUAGGUAUCUCCCAUAUUCCAUAUUUAAAAGUGUUGCCCUACUUUCAUGUAAAUAAAGUGUGAGCAGUAUGACCUGUUAGGUGGACAUGUAAGUACAAAUUUGCUAAAGCCUCACUUAUUUACCCUUAGAAAUGCAUGUUAAGUAUAUACACUAAACCCAGAUAGCACUAUAUAUUUUUGGGAAAAGAGUAUCUUUUGGUUGGAUCCAUGAAAAUUGCUUAAGUCAAUAGGGUAAUACAGUUCUAUACCUAUUAUUUCUAGGUGCAUCCAUAAGCUAAACAAUAACCAUCAUCUCCAGCCAAUGAGUAAAUAUGGAAGCUGAGGGUUUUGACCUCAUCUGGAUCUUUCCCAGUGUUUGGAGGUGGUCUGUUCAAAAAGAUUCCAUGACACUGAUCUCUUUGUGAUUUAUCAGACAGCUAGGUCAAUAAAUAGGUCUUUACUGUUUUUUCCACAGCUGUAAAAUAAUCAAUGGACUCCUUUGAGAGUUAAUUAUCAAAUCUUUUGAGUUUUUCUAUCGAGGAACACACAUUAUCUUUCCUUUUAGUAAAUUCCAUUUCAGUAUACUUUAACAAAGACUAUCUAAUGGCAAGAGUUCUGGCUCACAUGAAGCAGUUCAUUUAAAUAAAAUGUUAACUCUGGAGACCGGUUCCUUCUCAAUAAUUUUUUUCUCUGUCUUUUAUCAGUAUAUAUUGUCAUAGUUAUGAAAUCUGUUUCUCUUUAUAAAAAGAUUUUGGAGCAAUUGCCAUGCCCAAUGAAUCCACCAACUGACAAAGAAUAAGAUUCUUCUGUAUGACUUUUGUUGAUGUGGAUAAUCAAGGUACAGUAGUAUGUGAUAAAUGGAUCCAGAUUUGUAAUUUUUCUGCCUGUAUCCUCCUUGCCCACACACCCAGCUUUUGUGCUGCUAUUGCCUCCCCAUGCUAGUAGCCAUAUUCUAUCCCAGGUGAGGUGAUUCAUUUAACAUUAGAUACAAACCAGCAGAUACAUCUCCAUCAUUAGUUGGAACACGUGCUUUCUGAUGCUCUGUGAAAGCAAGGUAAUAUGGAAGGCUCCAGUGAUUGCCAAGAGAACUCCCUUUAAACAUCUGUCAAAAGCAGAAGUAAUCAGAGAACACCUAAAAGACCAUAUCAUAGAAUGGUUCGUGCUGGAAGGGACCUUACAGACCAUGUCGUUCCAAAGCUCCUGCUGCGGGCAGGGACAGCUUCCACUAGACCAGACUGCUAAAAGCUCCAUCCAACCUUCAGGUGCUGGAAGGAUUCUACAAGGUCUCUCCAGAGCCUUUGCUUCUCCAGGCCGAACAACCCCAGCUCUCUUAGCCUGUCUUGGCUUUGUGGGCUGCAAGCCCACGUUGCCAACUCAUGCCAUGCUUCUUAUCCACCAACACCCCCAAGUACUACUCCUCAAGGCUGCUUUUGCAGCUGGACUCUGACCAGCCUGGAUUUGUGCUUGUGAUUGCCCUGACUCAAGUUCAGGACCUGAGUUUCUGGCUACCAAGGCCAGGCAAUGACCUUAAGCUUGCAAAAACCCCCAGAAUACAUCCAAACUCUUUUCUUACUCUCUUUCUGUUAAUUUCUGUACACUAUAUUAUUUCAACUAGGAUAUUCCUUCUAUAAAUUACAUAUUUAAAAUUAUUCUAUUAACUAUUGAAAAUAUAAAUAAUAAUAAAGUGAACAUUUUGCCUGCAUGCGAUAUCUUCAAUGUUUAAUGAUGUAACGGAAUUCAAGGAACCCCCAAAUCCUAACACCUGGUCUCUCUUGGACUGUAACUUCCCUAUUUUGAUUUAUUCAUGCUUGCACUGACGUUGUUAUUAGUAACUCUUCUCCCAGACUCCUAAGUUGUGAUUAGAUUCCCUAAACAACAACUCAAAAAAGGUGAGGGUGUUUACUGGAGAUUAUGUCAUAAAUAUUAUAUACUGCUUUCUACAAAAACCUUCUAUGAAGAUUAUUUUUUGCAAUUCUUAUACUACCUUUUAAAACACAAAUAAUACACACAUAGAGAUCAUUUAUACUGGACAGAUUGAACUACAACAAAUGAUUACUUGUCUUAUUUUCCCUACAGAAUAUGUGAAGUGAUAUAAUCAUAAAGCAACUGUUCCACAUACUGCCAAAAAUAAUCAAAACAACUGCCACAUAAUACAUGUGCACACAACGUGGAGACACACAGAAAGGUAGAAUUUUAUGCUUUGGUCAUGGUAGAGAAGACAAAUCUCACUAUUUGUCAUGGAAUAAUGGGAACCACUCAGGCAGAGAAUGAACAACAACGUAAUCAAGUAGAUGCCAUAAAUUCCUCUUGACAGAGAGCCUCCUCAUAUAUUACUGGGUUAAGUCACAGUCCACAUUUGCUGUGCCUGCUAAAACUGUGGGCUGGGUGUAAAUUGCAGUUGAUGUUAAAUAAGAGAGAGCAAUCCAAAUUAAACAGAUGGCUCAAAUUCAAAAUACCCACUAUAAACCAUACUUACUAUUACAGAGUCCUAUGUACAACACUUUUUUAAGCUGUGUGUACAGAAUUGCACGUCAAAUUGAAUCCAAGCACUGUAUAUAUAGCAACGAAUGAAAUGUUAGGUUUUCUAACAAACAAAUAAAGAUUCUUAAAAUCAAUUGUAUUUCCUUUGAGAUUUUGAUUAACAGACCUCCACUCACCACCACCCCCAACUGCCUUGGGAUGACCAGGGAAGUUCAAUGAUUUCUAGCUGCUGAGUUUCUCUUUUGUUUUGAGGAGUCUGGGAUAGUAGCAGGGAUGAAGCCAUCUCUAUUUUCAGCUCCCUUAACACUUGGUGUUCAAUAAGCUCACAAACCAUUUUUGGUGAAAAAUGUGUUCCAAGAGGGAACAAAUCAGCUCUUUCUGGUUUGGUCUGCUCAUACACUUUCUAAUCCUCCUGCACAGAAAAACUUUACUUUGGAUGCUUACAAUUCUGUCCUUACCAAAGACUGAAAUUAAUAUCACUGGCAAUGUUGGGGGAUAUUAUUUGCUAUACUAUAGGGUCCUAGUACCAAGGGCCUAGAGAAGGGAACCAAAGAGUUCCCUUCUACUACAGGUAGUAAGAAGAACAAAAAGAAAGUUAAAUACGUCAGAGGCAAAAAAACUCCCCAAAAACCAAACCCAACAUUAUUAUAAAAGAUGCUAUCUCUCUGUUUCUAUUUCAAACACACAUUAAAAGCAAUCUAGUGCUUAUACUGUGUAGUAUCUAUUUCUUCACUUCUCACUUAUUCAGACUAAGUUUAAUUAUGCUUGCAUUACAUUCCCCGUCUAGAUCCCCAGUGCCACAUAGUUUUGCUUUCAAAAAAGUUUUAUGUUGAAGUGGAAUAGGACACUGACUUGUAAAAUGCUGGGAAAUGCACAUCAGGAGGAUGCAUUUGUGGACAGCUGAGCAACUGGUCAGUAGAAUGAACACAUUACCACAAGACUACUGGGAAUUAGUGAGAGAACUAGAAAGCACCAGAACAGGGGAAAAACUAGUUUUGUAUUGGAUCUGAUAUAUUUCAGACAGAUGAAAUAAAACCUAUAAAAAAAUCUCAAGAGACUGCCUAGUUUGUUUAAAGGCUAAAUUUUAACCUCAAGUCAGAAAUCUAUAUUAUUACACCAGGGAAUAUUUAUCAAAUUCACAUAAAAGGAAACUGUGAUGUUCUGUUCUCUUUUAAAAAUCUGUAUUCGGAAGACUUUUUUUGGUACUAGGUGUUCUCCAGUCAUAACGGUUAUGUAUCUUGCAACCAGUUUGUUUGGAGUAGAGGACAGAUUUGGAUGUCUUCACACUGCAAGUGAUGGGAGUGUAAAAUCCUGCGACUAUGUCUGAUAACUAGUCUUCCAGUUCAUACCUCUUGCAUUGCGCAGAUAUGAAUCUGCUACCCUACUAAUGUCUUAAAAAUUUUACCCACUGACUAUUCCAAAAUACAGCUUUUCUUUGUGAAGCAAUGCAUUAGAUCUGUCAAAUUUGCUCUACAGCUGUCAAAUCAGAGAGUGCACCUAAAUCCCACUAUCUCUUAUCAUUCACGAUGUCACUUAUCAUGCUUUAGAUCACAAUCAAUCAGUAAAUUCCCUCCAAAAGAAUGCUCCUGGCCCAAACUAAAACACAACAGGGCAUAGGUACCUUAACUCACUAGCACAAACUUAACUAAAACUUUCUGUCUCUCUGGGAACUGCAACUCCCAUUUUAAAAUUCUGGUUGUUGAAUAACAUUCAGUUGCACACUGCAAAAAUAAAUUCUAAUUUCCUCAUGUUGAAAUUUAAAGUGAUUUAGCACCAACAAGAAAGCUUAAAAUUUAUACUCUUCCAUUUUCACAAUUACACAAUUUUGCUGAAACAAAAAUAGCUUACCUUACUGUAUAGUCAAAUAGAAAAGUUAUACAGAUAUUCAAAAAUAGACAGAAUAAGUUUAAAAUACAGAUCAAAAUUGUCACAUCAAAGGAUUCAGUAAUACUUUUUGUUUAAAAAAAAGUCUCAUCCCAUAAAAUUUUGCUAGUUCAAAGACUCAUAAUUAUGAAAGCAUAAGCAUUAGUGCUAGGCCUAUUUAGGAUAAGCCCCUUCAGCCAAACAUCAUGAAUACUGUGGUAGGUAAAAAUAGACAAGGCAGAAAAACCUCACAAUUAUAAUAAGAAUGGCAGAUAAGUUUUUAAAUUUUUUUCAGCAAAUCAGACUGCUGAAUUAGGGGGAAACUUUAGGCACCUGCCUUUUACACCAAGCUUGUUAAUCACACAAAUACUAUUUUGGUAGAUGGAAUCAAAAAAACACCUAAGCAUCAAAUAAGAAUCAGCCUCUAUAGUUCUUGAGGAUCCUGAUGUGCAUAAAACCAAAAGUAGAAUGUAUCUCUGGAAUAUAUUAAAGAAAAAAAAGGAUGAAGGAAAAGAAAACAAAAGUUAAGCUCCUGUACCCUGACAUCUGUUCUUGAACUCCUUUCUCUUUUUCUGUCUCCCAGGAAUUCCUUGUGUUGGUUUCUGUGAUAUUCAGAAGUGAUAUUCAGAAGUACAAAAAGGUUGCUUCGUAUUUUAACAGACUAGUUACUAGAUUCAGUGAGGUUUAAUUGCUUGUGGGAUGGUUUUUUGUUUUAAAUUUUGUUUUCCUCCUGGAAUUGCAGAGGUGUGACAUUAAGAAGUACAUCUGUACACAAAGUAAAUAAAUUUCUCAAGUGACUACACUUUUAUUUGUUGGCACUGUAACAUUAAUUAAAAGUGUACCUAUAAUUAAAAAAACCAUAUAUUUUCAGCUAUUAGGUCUAUGAAUUCCUCCUGUGAUGUGCUUUAGCAACAGUAAGGUGACAUCAUUAGAGGUCACAGCCAGAACUCAGAGUUUGACAGAUGGGCUAUUAAUUUAGCUACCCCUCUUCAGAGAACACAAAAGUUUCUUAAGUUUUUACAACAACGCUUCCUUAAAACAGAGGUC